CUACGUGCCAGCAGCCGCGGUAAUACGGAGGGUGCAAGCGUUAAUCGGAAUUACUGGGCGUAAAGCGCACGCAGGCGGUUUGUUAAGUCAGAUGUGAAAUCCCCGGGCUCAACCUGGGAACUGCAUUUGAAACUGGCAAGCUAGAGUCUCGUAGAGGGGGGUAGAAUUCCAGGUGUAGCGGUGAAAUGCGUAGAGAUCUGGAGGAAUACCGGUGGCGAAGGCGGCCCCCUGGACAAAGACUGACGCUCAGGUGCGAAAGCGUGGGGAGCAAACAGGAUUAGAUACCCAGGUAGUCCACGCUGUAAACGAUGUCGAUUUGGAGGUUGUGCCCUUGAGGCGUGGCUUCCGGAGCUAACGCGUUAAAUCGACCGCCUGGGGAGUACGGCCGCAAGGUUAAAACUCAAAUGAAUUGACGGGGGCCCGCACAAGCGGUGGAGCAUGUGGUUUAAUUCGAUGCAACGCGAAGAACCUUACCUACUCUUGACAUCCAGA
rnacentral:rRNA from 1 species